rnacentral:lncRNA from 1 species
CCCAUCUUUGUUUAACGGCUACCCAUCAAGCCGCCUGAUGAAUUCUGCAGAUGCAGCCAGCGUCCUCCUUGGGCUCCUUGAGUUGUGGGCGUCUCAAUCAGACCUUGUUGUUCUUCCAGGGCUGGCCAAAGAAACCUCUUCUACAGGGGACAACAAGAGAAAGAAAACAGCUGUGCCCACCUACUUCAGAUCCCGGCACACAAUGUGCUGUGUGACCCAGGACAAGAUGCUUUGCCCUCUGAGCUGGUGAAAACGAAGAUGAUGCUCCCUUCAUCUUAGGCUGAAAUAGAACACAAACAGAGAUGUGGCGAGAUGAUGAUCAUCCUUCCAAAUGUUCUAUUAGACUGGGUUAGCUACAUUUAAAAAUAAGAACAAACCAAAAAUAAUCCUCAGAAAAGCUUCAUGAAGUUCAAAAGCUCCAUUGCUCAUGUUGCCUCCAAAGGGGCAAGAAUUUUGCCAUUGCCACCCCUGUAUUCCCCUCCUAAAACAGAACCUGGCAUAUAGUAGGUGCUCAAUAAAUACUGG